UUCUUUUAUCUGCCCAAGACAACCUCCUCUGUUUCUCAUUUUCAUCCGUCUUACACUUUUAAUUUGUCUUCAUUAACUCUCCUUCUAGUGACAGAAAAUAAUUAAAAAAAUCUCUCUCAUCCUUUCGGCUUCCCCUUUCAAAUCUCUGGGACUUUUAAUUUUAUCAUUAACUCUCUCUCUCUCUCUCUCUCCAGUGAAAGAAAAAUAAUAAAAAAAUCUGUCUCUCAUCCUUUCAUCUUCUCACUCUCACAUUUCAUCUACUUUACUGUUCUUCCAUUUCGUAUUCUCAGGGGAAGAUUGUUAGGAUUCAACAGGACCAAGGAAAAUUGUUUUCUUUUUUCGAGUUUUUGGAACUUAUAAAACCAUUCUUCAUCACAUCGGUUACUCAAAACGGAGUGAGAAGAGAACCAUGCCUCCUCAGUCUUCAGGUUUACUUGGAACUUUGGAAAUUUUGACGGCAUGAGUGGAGUCGGA